rnacentral:tRNA from 2 species
GGAAGUGUGCCUGAAGAUUAUAGGGCCUCCUUGAUAGGGAGAACCAUAGGGACUUGUACCCCCUCACUUCCU